UGUGUCCUGAUAAGUGUCAUGCGUGUACGUGGGAUGGUGAGUGUUGUCACGGCCAGUGUCUGGGUAGCUGUACUGAACCUAACACUGAUUCGUCUUGCGCUGCCUGUCUCCACUACUACCACGAGGGGCGCUGCGUUCCAGACUGCCCCCCUGAUACCUAUAAGUUUGAAGGCUGGCGCUGCGUCACCCUGGACUUCUGCUCCAGCGUCCACCUGCCCGACUUCGACCAACCGUCAUUCACAGAAGAGAGUGCAUGUCUGACUGUCCUUCUGGAUUCACACGCAACAAGAGCAAGAGUAUGUUCUGCAGUGCGUGUGACGGGCUAUGUGACAAGAUCUGUGAUGAGAAGGUCAUUGACUCCGUGGACGCAGCCCAGUCUCUGAAGGGAUGUACCGUCGUCAAGGGCAACCUACAAAUCAACAUCCGUAGAGGACAGAACAUAGUGUCUGAGCUGGAGAGUUUCAUGGGAUUGAUCCAGACAGUGACUGGCUACGUGAGAAUCAGACACUCUCAGACGCUGGGCUCCCUGUCCUUCCUCAAGAGCCUCCGCUACAUCAAUGGAGAGGAUCUGAUGGAUGACAUGUAUGCUUUCCAUGCAGUAGACAAUCAGCACCUCCAGUUCUUGUGGGAUUGGACCCAGCACAACCUGACCAUCCGGGCCGGGAAACUGUUCUUCCGAUCCAACCCUAAACUCUGCAUGUCGGAGAUCCGGAAGAUGUGGCAGAGGACGGGCAUCACAGAGAAGUUUGAGGAGGACGACUUCAGGAACAACGGAGACCGAGCAAGCUGUGAGAGUAAGAUCUUGCGGUUCAAGUCCAACAGUACGAUGUCUAACCGUAUCAAAGUGACCUGGCAGCGCUACAGACCCCCAGACUAUAGAGACCUCAUCUCAUUCAUACUAUACUACAAGGAGGCUGCGUACCAGAACAUCACAGAGUUUGACGGUCAGGACGGUUGUGGCUCCAACAGUUGGAACAUGGUGGACGUGGACCUUCCCCAGGAGAAGAAUUCUGACCCAGGGGUUCUACUGUCACCUCUCAAGCCCUGGACCCAGUACGCCAUCUACGUCAAGGCCAUCACUCUGGUGGCAGAGGAUAGACACAUCCUGGGAGCCAAGAGUGAAGUCGUCUACAUCAGAACCAGCCCCUCAGAGCCGUCCAUGCCCCUGGAUGUGAGAACAUACUCUAACUCCUCUACCAACCUGGUGGUCCGCUGGUCUCCCCCUGCCUCCCCCAACGGGAACCACACCUAUUACCUGGUCCGCUGGCAGCAACAGGCUGAAGACAGAGAGCUAUACCAACACAACUACUGCUCUAAAGAACUGAAGAUCCCGGUCCGUAUAGCUGCUACCGGGUUGACUGACAUGGAGGAGGACCUGAAGCCUACUAAACCAGACGUUGGUGGGGGGGACAAGGGGCCGUGCUGUCCCUGUCCUAAAUCUGUAGGAGACCUGGAGGCAGAGGCAGCUGACGCUUCAUACAGAAAAGUCUUUGAGAACUUUUUACACAACUCUAUCUUUACCCCCAGACCUCCAGACCGGCGCCGUCGGGAUCUAUUUGGCGUGGCUAACCGUACCAUCCACCGUGGUGUGACCACCUACCCUAACGCCACGUCAACUGACCUUUGGGCCAACGCUACAGAGGCGGAGUUAGCGGACAGGGAGUAUGACUUCGUAGAGUGGGCAGUCAGCGAGCGGGAGCUGCAGAUAUCCGGUCUGCAGCCGUUCACGGUUUACAGGAUCGACGUCCACGCCUGUAACCAACAGGUGAAACGCUGCAGCGCGGCAGAGUUCGUCUUCUCCAGGACCAAACCUGCAGGGAAGGCGGAUGACAUCCCAGGCCCAGUGAUCUGGACUGGAGAGGAUGAUUCUGUGUUCCUCCGCUGGCCUGAACCCUCGUCCCCCAACGCACUCAUCCUCAUGUAUGAGAUCAAGUUCAGACUGGGCACUGAGUCAGAGAAGCAUGAGUGUGUGUCUCGCCAGCUGUAUCGAGAGCAGCAUGGUGCCAGGCUCAGUAACCUUGGACCUGGUAACUACUCUGCCCGGGUCAGAGCCACCUCCCUGGCAGGCAACGGAUCCUGGACUGAACCCAUCUCCUUCUACGUGGUACAGGCCCAAC